AUAUAGGUGAGUUUGGUGAUGGCUCUGAUUGAACGCUGUCUAAAUGCUUGACACAUGCUAAUCGAACGUUUAAUUUAAUGAAUAAUUUUAUUAAAAGUGGUGUACAGGUGAGUAUAGAUAUCCAGCCUACCUUAAAGAGAGGGAAAGAUCCCUCAUAAUAAUAAAAAGGGUGUAAACCACCCGCUUUAAGAGGACUUAAGGAGUUAUCGUCGGGAUAGGUAGUUGUUAAGGUUAUUACUUAACAAGCCUUAAUUCUCGUAGUCGAAGCUGAAAGGUUGAUCGACCACACUGGGUCUGAAAAAACCCCAGGGCAAGCGAGUACAGCAGUGAGGAAUUUUGGUCAAUGGCCUAACGGCUGAACUGGCAACUUAGAGGAAUGGUAGUAAAGACUACAAAUUGAUUUAUCAAAUAAAGUUCUAAAUGCAUUAUUGAUAAUGACGAUAUGCAGAUUUAUGCCUUGACUAAUUACGUGCCAGCAGUCGCGGUAAUACGUAAGAGGCUAGUGUUAUUCAUCUUUAAUAGGUUUAAAGGGUACUUAGACGGUAAAUAUUUUCCUUUUAAAAGGUACAUUUUUACUAGAGUUUUAUGUGAGGAGGUAGUACUUAAGGUGUAGAGAUGAAAUUUGUUGAUACCUCGGGGACUGAUAAAGGCGAAGGCAACCUCUUAUGUAAAAACUGACGUUAAAGGACGAAGGCACAGAGAACGAACAGGAUGUGCGAUCUGAAAAGCUUUAAUUAAAACUGUAGGAGAGUAUUUUAUUUAUUUCUUUCUCUCGAUUAUAUAGUUA
rnacentral:ncRNA from 1 species